ensembl:lncRNA
CUGUUCAAACAGACCAGAGCUGUUAGUCCACAUCCUGAGAAGUCCCUUCAGACGCUCCAACUGUACAGCACAGCAGCUGUAAAAUCUCUGGGUAAAGCAAUUGAACGUGGAUGGUGAAGGAUGCCUAGGAAGAAGAGAAGUGGAUUGUUUGCCAGGUCAAGGAUGGUAAUCUAAUCAAAUUAAAAUGAAUGCAAAUAGAAUCUUCAGAGCUUAUGAACAUUUGUUUUAGAAUCAUUGCAGAAUUCAUAAUAUAUUUAUAUUUAUAAUUAAUUCAGAAUUUAAGAAUUGGCUGCCUGUCAAGACAUCGAAUUGGCCACAACCCAAAGAGAGCUGAAUUAGAAUGACAGGAUCCAUCAAAUGGUCAGUGACCGGACUGGGUGGUCCGGGGCGUGACGUCUGAGACUAAGACUAAGAAGAUGCAGAACCUGUAAUGUAUAUUGGUACUCACUCUUCACUGCUGACGCCCAUGAGACCUGGAACAGACAAGAGGAAGAAAACAGACCAGAAAAGACAUCAGACAGUCCAUCUUAAAUGUUUUAUCGUAAGGGCUCAUCCACUUUUUUUCUUGAUGCAUGGAACAUUUAAAAUCAUCUGUAUAAUGCUGGUCCAGCACAGUGAAGACCAGAACACUGAAGAAAUAAGACCACACACAUUUACUAGCAUCUUGGUUAGUCUUAUAAGCAAAAUGAUAAACAUAAUGAACAAAUCAUUGCAUUAAGUUUAUAAACCUAUUUGCUGCACUUUUGCAUUAAAGCAGGAUAAAUAAAAAAAAAAAAAAAAAAAUCA